UACGUAGGGUGCGAGCGUUGUCCGGAAUUACUGGGCGUAAAGAGCUCGUAGGUGGUUUGUCGCGUUGUUCGUGAAAACUCACAACUCAAUUGGGGGCGUGCGGGCGAUACGGGCAGACUGGAGUACUGCAGGGGAGACUGGAAUUCCUGGUGUAGCGGUGGAAUGCGCAGAUAUCAGGAGGAACACCGGUGGCGAAGGCGGGUCUCUGGGCAGUAACUGACGCUGAGGAGCGAAAGCGUGGGGAGCGAACAGG
rnacentral:rRNA from 1 species